rnacentral:lncRNA from 1 species
CUUAUUCAAUAAAAAGUUUUCUCCCUCCUUUUCUCUUUUUCUUGAUUUCUCUCUCUAGAGCUUCUUUCACCCUCUUAACAUAGAGGAGUGAGUGAGAAAAAGGGGUCUCAAAUAUGAAACCAAAAGACGUUUUUGUUAAAGGUACUACUGUUCUUGAAGUUCUAUAUUACAAAAUCUUGUAUUUUAUUAUUAUCAUGUAUAAUACACUCAUUGUUCAUAUGCACAAUUUAAAAUUAUGUGUAAUUCAUGUUAAAGCCUUGCAGGUAUAUGUAGUAGCCUUUUCUAUAUAAUAAUUAUACUGUGACUGACUGAGAUAUUUACUUAAUGACACAAUAUAGUAUAAUAUAUAUAUAUAUAUAUAUAUAUAUAUAAGAAUGCAGUUCAGCUAGAGAAUAUCCCAAAAAAAAUAAGCAAGAAAGAAAUGAAAGAUAAGAAAUGGUGGAUAGUUACCUCAAAAGAGAAAGAGGGGAAGUAUUUAAUGAAAAAGUUGUUUAUAAUAAAACUCCUCUUAAUUACUUACUUUCUCUAAAAUAUUAGUGAAUCAGUGGAGCAUUUAAAAACAUUAUUCCUGAUGCAUGGGUUAGAAAAACCUAUCUCCAUCUAUAUAUAUAUAUAUAUACUUAUGAUGAUGAAUGAUUUGUCAUUGUCAGAAACAGCGUUAUUGAGUUAAGGUCGUUGUUUACCAGUUACCACAAUUCUAAAUUAUAUUAAUAAACAGAAAAGCAUAGCUACGUGCCCAACAAAAUAAAGACUUUAUGAUAUGAUAGUAUAGAAAUUUUGUUGUAUUGUGUGGAAAGUCUGAGGGCUAAUUAAAGUUGUAACAAUAUAAUAAAUCAUUGAGUAUAAUAUAAUAGUCGUUUUCUGCAAGUUUAGUUAAAUUAUUGUGGCGACUAUAAAGGCAGCAAAAGCCAUGAAACUUCUGUCUCAGUUUGUGCAAAACAGAUGCAGUUGUUGACAAAUAAAUAAAUUAAUAAAUGUGUGUAUACAUUCAGGAUUCAGCAACAAACAUGCAUUACAAUGAUAUGUAUAUUUUCCCUUUAAUUUGUCAAUGAAAUUUAUGUGUAUAUAGUCUUAUGGGGUAGUUGUUUUUAGUAUUUUAUAAGAUAUUUAUUUAGGUAAAAUCAUCUCUGAAGAUUCAAUGGUGUAACUAUUGAAAUAAUAAUUGAGUAGCAGCUAGCAUGCAUGCCAAUGUUAGGAUUAACAAUCAUAAUCUUGGUUUGUUUCGAAUGUCUUGUGGAUUGGAACAGCACAAGUUUAUUGAAGAAACAAAAGCAAGUCGUUUUAUACUAAAGGGUGUUGGUGUGGAAUCACCACUGAAACCAAACAAAACGUUUUUCGAUUAAUAGACUAAUGUUCUAUUAACAUUUAAAAUUUUAUAAUUUCUUUCAUAAUAAAAUUAAAUUAUUUUUAUAUUUCACUUAAAAAUUUCACAUCUUAUCUCUCAAAAUAUCAUAUAUAGAAAUUAAUAUAUUUGGUAAGUUUUCUAUGAGAAAAUUUAUUUAUUACCAAUAUAGUGUAUUUUUUCAUUUUUUAUAUGCAUGACUUUUAAACAAAGUUGUCACUAACAUACACGAGUUUGAGGUCUAAUUUUACUUUUUUUAAACUCGUGGUUACCAUGCUCGAUUUUACUUUUUUUUAUAUUUAUUUUCUAAAACUUGUGGUCAGAAUCAAUGAUUUUACUUUUUUUAUAUUUCUUACAAUAAAUAUCAUGAUAUAAUUGAUAAAAUAUAAUUGAUAUUCUCAUAAAGUUUGAGUAUAAUUAAUAUUGAAAUAAAAACAAUAUUUAAAAAACAAGAAAGAUAAUUUUAAACAUACUUUAUUUUAACUUAUUUUUUUCAAUCAUAAGGUUAGAGUCAAAGUUAACAUAUUAACCCAACAAUAAUAAAUUAUUGUCUUAGAUUCAAUUAAUAAAUAAAUUAACAAUGGACUAUGACGAAGUUAUUAUAGUUGUCAACCAACAAGAAAGAUUUAUUAAGAUAUUAGGUGUUUUAGGUUGUAACCAUCAAAUAAGGAUCACAUUUUCUAAAAACCUUAAGUAAUAUAUAAAUAUUAAGUUAUAUUUUUAUAAUUUUUAUUUUUAAUUAAAUAUAAAAUUUUAAUUGGAUGAGAGUGGGUUUACUUUGAUUGACCUAUGCCUGCUACCCCUUAACAACAAUCACCACGUCUUGAUUAAUAUUUUAUUGAUGAACGUUGUUUCAACUGUGCAUGCAACAUGUCCACAUAUAAUAGUAAUACAAAGAAUGAGGAAAAAUGUGCAAAUUUGAAAAAAGGCGUUUGACCAUAGUACAAAGCAAAACAUAAUGUAUUCUUUGUAAUGGUUUUGUUUACUUUUUAUGUGUAAUCUAAAGCUGGUUUCUGUUCCUGCCAUUCCUGUUUAUAUUCUCUGAACUGAUUAAGAGCAUGAUCCAUGAUACAGGUUCCUAUAAGGGUUUUUUCAUGAUGCAUGUGAGUAGAAGCAGUAAGGGUAGUAACAUGGUCAACCCUAUGAUAAUUAGGAGCUGUGACCAAAAAGAAGCCAUGAGUAGUGGCUCUGAAAUUGGUGCUGACAGAAACUCCUUUGGAUUAAUGGUAGCAGGUUCAUUCUAAUCAUGGUGCUAUCCUAUCUGAGCUUUUUUUUACCUAUCUAUUCUCUUCUUCAACUAAUUUCUACCACUAUAUUUGUUUGUCUUCUUUUUUCUUUGCUUUUCCUUCUACCCUUCUUGACCUUGUAAGACCUUUUCUUGACCUUGUAAGACCUAACACUGUGUCUUUUUUCUUUGUUUUUGGUUUUGUGAAAAACCCUAUAUCAGAAUCCAUUGAUAUAGAGUUUUAUCUCAUCUUUUCCUUGCUACCCUCUAACUCAUCCUCUCCUUCCUUGUCUAUCCCUCCUGAGCUUUUUACUCAACUUUAUUGCCCUACCAUGCAACUAUCGUAGUUGUAUCACCUUAUAAUGAUACUGAACCACAUUAAUGAUAUGAUCCAUGUUGCAUAGUAUCAUUGUGACUUGUGAGUGAGUUAAAAAUCAAUGAUACUCAUGCAUCUUGGACUAUAUACAUGAAUUCAAAGGACAAAUGAUUUAUUUUCCUUUGAGCUAGAGAAAUGUAAUUUUGUGCAACAUGCUUCACUGUGGUCCUUACUUAAGGUAGAGUAGCUUGUAUAAGUGGACAGAAUAGUUCAUAAAUUAAUGCUGUUUGUAUUGUCACAUAAAUUUGAGAGUUAUCUGUAUCAUAUUCAGUUAAGGCAAUCAAUUUUGCUUUGUAUCAUUAUGUGCAGAAUAUGUAUCAUGUUGUCAAACACAUCUUCUGUUUAAAAAUAUGUAUCACUCUAUAUACUUCUUUAUUCUUAUUUGUCAGAAAAUAUAUAAAGUUAAUAUAUAUUAAAUUUGGGUGUUACUUUUCUAGCCAAUGAAAAUAAAAGGCUAAAAGAAGUGAGACA